rnacentral:rRNA from 1 species
AUUGAACGCUGGCGGCAGGCCUAACACAUGCAAGUCGAGCGGAUGAAGGGAGCUUGCUCCUGGAUUCAGCGGCGGACGGGUGAGUAAUGCCUAGGAAUCUGCCCGGUAGUGGGGGAUAACGUCCCGAAACGGGCGCUAAUAUCGCAUACGUUCUGAUGGAGAAAGUGGGGGAUCUUCGGACCUCACGCUAUCAGAUGAGCCUAGGUCGGAUUAGCUAGUUGGUGGGGUAAAGGCCUACCAAGGCGACGAUCCGUAACUGGUCUGAGAGGAUGAUCAGUCACACUGGAACUGAGACACGGUCCAGACUCCUACGGGAGGCAGCAGUAGGGAAUAUUGGGCAAUGGGCGAAAGCCUGAUCCAGCCAUGCCGCGUGUGUGAAGAAGGUCUUCGGAUUGUAAAGCACUUUAAGUUGGGAGGAAGGGCAGUAAGUUAAUACCUUGCUGUUUUGACGUUACCAACAGAAUAAGCACCGGCUAACUUCGUG